GCUUUGCUGCUACGUGCUACGCCCACAGCCGGAGGGAGACUCUCUCACAAACACACACACACACGUACACAGUGCGGCAGGAGGACACACUCUUUGAAACAGUUUUCUUUUAUUCAUAAACGGAUUUUGUGUCCUAAUACUCACCAGAACUGCUUCUGACUUUCUGCUUCUCUGGUUUUGAAAUUCAUCCUCACUGAACCUGGAUCAGCUUACCUCCUCACCUCAUUCAUUCGAUCAUUGGACUGUCUAAGCCAGACUCCGGAGCAGCACUGAAUCCAAGCAGAUAGAGGACCACAUCACAUGGGAGUGUGUGACGGUGUGUGUGAGGGUGUGUGUUCUGGCCUCCUGCCGUCGCCCGCUCUUUCCCGACAGGCAUGGCGGGAGGCAGAGAGCGCGGGUCCCGGAUACAGAGGCCAUGGUCAGUUUACCGGGCCAACACGUUCGAGCUGUCCAGUGAGAUGAUCGGCCUUGCACUCGCAGGAAAUAGUCAGGACCCAGAUGAGCCUGUGCUGGAGUUCAGUGUCGCCUGCACAGACCUGCUGACUCCUGCUUUGGAUCGAAAACCCAACAGCUUUGUAGCAGUGAGCUGCACGACACCACCACAGGCCUUCUGGACCAAACAUGCCCAGACUGAAGUCAUAGAGGGCACCAGUAACCCCAUCUUCCUCAGCAGCAUCGUCUUCUUCCAGGAGUCCAACAUCAACCAGCAGACGCAGGUCAAACUAGCCGUGUACGAUGUCAAGGACCGCUCCCAGGGCACGAUGUACAUGUUGGGCUCAGCAUUAUUUCCUGUGAAGGAGUUGUUGCAAGAGAGGAGCCACAGAUUACAGCUCGAACUUAGAUCAGCAGAGAACCAGCGGGUGGGGAAUGUCACAAUAGCAGCCUGGCAGAUGGAGGAGAGAGCAGAUCAGAGGAUGUCAGUCGGCCGGCUGCCGGACAGCAUUAAUGGCCGGACGGUUCUGCCUGUUGAUGAGAGCCUUGCAGAGUCAAUGGGAGUCCGAAUCAAGUACGCCUCGCUAUGCAAAGACACCCUGCUGCGCUCAGUGUUUGGAGGCACGAUGUCCAGGAUGUACCGCUUCCCCACAACAGAUGGAAACCACCUACGGGUGCUGGAGCAAAUGGCCGAGAGCGUCCUCUCAUUAAACAUCCCUAGACAGUUUGUCAAACUGCUGCUGGAGGAGGACGCAGCCAGGGUGUGUGAGUUGGAGGAGCUGGGAGAGUUAUCACCCUGCUGGGAAAAUCUUAGGCGACAGAUUGUGUCACAGUACCAGACCAUAAUCCUCACAUACCAGGAAACACUGUCCGACCUCAACAACUACAGAGGUCCAUCAUUCAAAGCCAGUAAUCUGAAGGCAGAGAGGAAACUUGAGUUCAUUUCAACCAACCUACAUGUUCAAAGGAUGAGGGUGCAAGAUGAGCUGGGCUUUGAGCACACAUAUGAUGUGAUAACAAUUGGAGCUCCAGCGGCUCACUGCCAAGGUUUUAAAAGUGGCGGUUUGAGGAAACUCGUGCAGAAGUUUGAAGAGGCAAAGAAACACAGUGCUCUCUCCAGCUCACAGUCCAUCGUCUACAUACCCCAGGACAUCGUCAGGGCCAAAGAGAUAAUCGCCCACAUCAACACACUGAAGACCCAGGUCAGUUAUUACGCAGAGAGGCUUUCCCGAGCUGCAAAGGAUCGAUCUGCCAGUGGACUGGAGAGGACACUCGCUAUUCUAGCUGAUAAGACUCGUCAGUUGGUGACGGUAUGUGACUGUAAGCUGCUGGCUUCAGCCAUUCAGGCCCUGAAUGCAGCAAGGCCUGAGUACAUUGCCUCCAAAGCGUCUCCCUCCGCUGACUCAGAACAAGUCGUCCUCCGUAACGAUCAAGACACACUGCUGGCUAAGUGGAGUGGUAGCAACAGCCGAUCCUCGCUGCAAGUAGACUGGCAUGAGGAGGAGUGGGAGAAGGUUUGGGUGAAUGUGGACAAGUCUCUUGAGUGCAUUAUCCAGCGUGUGGACAAGCUGCUGCAGAAAGAGAGGAGGCCAAGUGUUUGCAGUCAGGACAGUGGACAGGCUGACCUGCAGGCUGGUGCUAGUAAGAAAGAUGGAAGCCCGAUAGCUGAAGAGGCAUACCCAGGCGAGUGGAGUGAGGCGUUGUACCCCCUCCUCACCACUCUCACAGAGUGCGUCGCCAUGAUGAGCGACACAGCUAAAAAGUCCAUGGUCUUCCUGCUGAUGCAGGACAGCGCCCCGACGAUAGCCAUGGACCUGUCGCUGCAGUACCGCCGUGAUGUUGUUUUCUGCCAGACGCUCACUGCUCUCAUCUGUGGCUUCAUUAUCAAACUGAGAAACUGUCUCCGAGACAACGGAUUCCUCAGACAGCUCUACACCAUCGGCCUGCUGGCUCAGUUUGAGUCCCUGCUCAGCACCUAUGGAGAGGAGCUGGCCAUGUUGGAGGACAUGAGUGUGGGCAUCAUGGAUCUUCGUAAUGUCACCUUUAAGGUGACCCAGGCCACCGGUAGCUCCGCCCCCGACAUGCUGCCUAUCAUCACAGGGAACAGAGAUGGCUUCAAUGUUAGAAUCCCGCUGCCUGGAACCAUGUUCGACGCGUUACCUCGGGAGAUCCAAAGCGGUAUGCUGCUCAGAGUGCAGCCGGUGCACUUCAACGUCGGCAUCAAUGAGCAGCAGACGCUCGCUGAGAAGUUUGGGGACACAUCCCUGCAGGAGAUCAUUAACUUAGAGAGUCUCUCCAGGUUAAAUUCAUACUAUGAGCAGUUCAAAGAAGUCCUUCCAGAGGACUGCCUCCCAAGGUCCCGUUCUCAAACCUGCCUCCCUGAGCUGCUGAGGUUUCUGGGGCAGAACGUCCAUGCCAGGAAAAACAAGAACGUGGACAUCCUCUGGCAGGCAGCCGAGAUCUGCCGCCGGCUAAAUGGGGUUCGGUUCACGAGCUGCAAAAGCGCCAAAGAUCGCACGGCCAUGUCGGUAACUCUGGAGCAGUGCCUGAUCCUGCAGCACGAGCACGGCAUGGCGCCACAGGUCUUCACCCAGGCCCUGGACUGUAUGCGCAGCGAGGGCUGCAGACGAGAAAACACUGUGAAGAACGUCGGCUGCCGAAAAUAUGCCUUUAACUCACUCCAACUCAAAGCCUUCCCCAAACACUACCGACCACCUGACGGUACCUUCGGGAAAGUGGAAACCUGAUCGGACCACAGACAGCUGAACAGAGACAGGGGAGUGGAGAGCAGGGGACGACAUGCAGGAAAUGGUUGACCAACCAGGAAUCGAACCAGCGAACCCUGUGACAAGGACUGUAGCUUCUUAUCAUAGGGUGCUUAGACCACUAGGCCAUCAGCACCUCUUAUAGUUUGACCAAUGUUCCAUCUAGUUUAAUUGAUGAGGUGGGGUUUAGGACCGAUACUGCAGCCUGUCACUAGGGGGAGCUCAAAAAAGUAUGGCUCCAUGGCAGACAGCUGUUCUUCUGUCCAUUUUAAUACAGUCAUUGAUACAGACAGACACUCUCUAUUCUGUGAGCAGCACAACAUGACUGUUGUCGUCUGCAGGAAGAGCGUGAGCACAUUUACUGAUGAAGUAUCACAGAAUACAGGAGAGAUAGAGCAGGAUAUAAACGGAUCCAUUACUCAAGUGGAGGGUGGUAAAACUUGUGAUUCUCUUGUGACUUGUUUUGGAUAAAUAUUAUAUAAACUGUCAGAUGAAUUCCCUGGCAAGAAUUAAACAUACCAAGAAAACACAGAGAGUGGAUUUCCUGUAUAAAACCACACAGACAAACUUAUGUAAUUCAGUUUCAUGUACAUAAUCAAACUGUAAAACAAACAAACAACACAUUUCAAAGUUAAACUGUCUCAGAAACAAAAGGAGAUUGUGGUGAAGAGGAUUCAAACAUGCCUAGAGACAUGUGAAACAAAUGAAUUAGGAUGUUUAUGUCUGCAUCUGCACCAACAUUUGUUUUUCACAUUAACAUUGGCAUGAGGAGAAAGACUCUUAUUGUUUUUCUUAUAUCUUUAUAUCAAGUGGAGAUAAUUGAAUCCAGCAUAUGCACAGAUUGCUUUGAUGAUUUGGAUGAGUAACUCAGUUUGUGUUACACAAGAGGAAUUAUUUAAUCUGUUAUAUCUUUUCAGGGAAAAUGAGGUUGACUCAGGAUAUUGGACUUAGGGUUUGUUAUUACAUCAAGACGUACGUGUUGGAAGACUUAUUUAUACGUAUUACGUUUAUCUGUUUGUUCAACCAACACGCCAUGAUGCACGUAGCCUUAAAACCCCAUUACCCAGAAAUAGAAGAUUGGAAUACAUUUAUAUGACCUUUUUUUGUUUUAAUUACAUGAAUUCAGAUUUAGUUUCAGGAAAUUCACAAGACAGGAAGGAUUGAAAUAUGACCCGAGGCACUGCAAAACACACUGAAUCAUUGUUCUUGUUUUGUUACACAGACUUCACUCCCAAAGAAACAAGAAUUAGUGCAAAACAUUUGACUCCGAUUUUACGCUUCAGCGCCCGUGAAAUCCAUCCCCGCAGGAAUUAUGUUGUUGGGUUAGCUGUUCAAACCAGACACUGCUGGCGCACUGCUGUAUUGUACCUAUUUUCACAGGUUGUUUGAGGAGACUGGUGACAAACUGGACCUUUUUAACACCAUAAAGUCCUGACAGAUGGAGAACUAGUGACCAUACUUCACUGUGAAUCACAAAACAUCUGACACUGGUCAUCUAGAAUCUGAGGGGAUCUCCAAAGCUGCCUCCAGAUGCACCCUUCCCUGAAGAAACCCCAGCCACUAAAAACUGAUUGAAGAUCUGCAGGAGCCUGCCACGCACACUGAGGGAUCUGAGUCUUCUACAGAAACAACAGUCAGUGUUAGAGCCACGGAGGCAGAAAGAGUCCGACUGUCCCGAGCAGACACACGAUGAUGAACAUCCACAAGAAGAUCCGGUCUACAACCAUGGCCACGUACUUCCAGUCCUCUUUAACCUGACGAGACAGAGAAGGAGAGGGUCUUAAAACAGCUGGAUCAAAAUCAAACAGGACAAUAGAAAUUAAAAAAUGACUCACUGAGAAGUCUGCAUCCUCGGCUCUGAGAUGCUCUGCGAUGUAAGUCACCCCCUCAAGAGCUGACACCACCGCAGGAGACAGAACAGAGGAUGAUGGGGUCAGGACCGUACCCUGCUCUACAGGAGGGGUGUCCCAGUCCAAACUGAUGGUGGACUGUCCCUGUGGGAGGAUGGUGUAGCCAAGGCAUCGAGUGGACGGAGGUGAGAGUGAAGAGAUCCUCUUCCGGCCUGAUAUCUUCACCCCAAAUCUCUCCAACCCAUCUGUGUUUGGGAAGCUGUGAAGAUUGCAGUAUUGAAUUUCAUCCCUGGUGUUCAAGAAGUCGAGACGGUGGCUGCUGUUGCAAAGGUUGUCGUUGUCAUAACCAUGGAGAUCUAUGUCGGACUCCUGAGUGAUCCAUGUGGAGUUGAAGUGCGAGGGGACCGGGGUGUGGAGAGGGAGGAGUUUUUCAGCGAGGUGACGCCGCCUGAGGAGAAAAAGGAGCAGGGUUCCAAGAUUAAAAUAAGCCUCACCAAAGAUCCUAAACUCAAUUAACUGUGUAAUAACUGAUUAAACUUGUGUCUCAGUAUUCCUCCCCUCACCCACCUGUGGACAGGACGCUUCAUGCACAGCCAGUGUGGCACCGCCGACAGAAACAACCUCCUGACCCAUCGGGGCAUCCUGUGAGUCGCCGACGACCGGUGGUGGACGUUCAGCACGAACACGGUGAUGACGAUGGACAGCGUGACAAAUAUCAUGGUGAAGAGCAGAUACUCUCCGAUGAGCGGGAUGACCAGCGACGUGGACGGGAUGAUCUCUGUGAUGAGGAGCAGGAAGACGGUGAGCGACAGCAGCACAGAGAUGCACAGCGUGAUUUUCUCGCCGCAGUCUGACGGCAGGUAGAAGACGAGGACGGUGAGGCAGGAGAUGAGGAGGCAGGGGAUGAUGAGGUUGAUGGUGUAGAAGAGCGGGAGGCGGCGGAUGACGAAGUAGUAGGUGAUGUCGGGGUAGAUCUCACGGCAGCAGUCGUAUUUCUUGGUGUUGUAGGUGCCCACAGCGUUGACGAUCGCCCACUCACCGCUCUCCCAGUAAUCCUACAAAUCACAAAAAGAAGCAGUCCUUUACUUCGCCCCAAACUAAAACCUAGUGACAGUUAAUGGAUGGUCACCAGAGGAUGAAUCCUGCAAAGCUUCAAGCAACUCUUUGACAGGUUUUGGAAAAACACCCAUGAAAUGUAUGGCUGAUAUUCAUGAUCAUAAGAAGAUAAGCCCUGCAGAAUUUUUCUCCUACUUCAAACAAUUUAAAGAUUUUUGAUUCUGAGGGUAAUUUUGGAUGCAUAACAUUUAUUCAUGCAAGUAAGAAGUAUCAUGUCCAUUUACUCUUUAUCCAGUGCAAUCAUCUGUGUCCAGUACUUCAGUUUAAGAGACACAGACUCACCUUCAGGUCCACCGUGUUCUCAAAGGGCUCCAGGUCGAUCUUGGCACGGUCGUACGUCCAGGAGCCGAACUUCAUCUUGCAGCUCUGCUGGUCGAAGGGAAAGAAGGUGACAUCGAUGGAGCAGGAGGACUUGUAGAUGGCCGGGGGAACCCAGCGGACUCGACCCGUGUGGAACAGAGCACAAUGUCGGGCACCCAGAUGAGCUCAGAAGGAACUCUGAUGGACGUCACGUUGUCGAAGUCUGAGGGAGUCCACUGCAGCUUAUAAUCUGUCCAUUCCUGCAAACACAGGCGUGGUUUAAAGCCAGCUUUGUCACACAAACAUGUACUUUACUACACUUUUAGGUCUGUCAGUCUGUUCAUGUUACCUACCUGUUUAAGCCAAACGUUGGUCGUCAUCAUCUGAUUCUUUUCGUCCUGUUUGGAGGCAAAGAAAGACACAAACAGCCCUGAGACAGUGUGCACUGGAUGCAGAGAUUGAUGUCGCAUGUUAACAAGGUAAAAAGUGUUGAUGGGCUUUGAAAACCUCAGAUAUCCUGAAUGUUCUUUUUCUGGAUUUAGACAAAAGUAAAAUGUGUGUUUGUGUUCUGACCACGUCUAUGAGUUGAGCGAUGGAGAGGCCAAACUUGACGAUGACCACGUCGGUGACGUUCCUCGCCGGACGUGUCCACUUGCUGUAACCUCCAAACAGUCUCCUGAAGAGGUCGUCCUCGGUGUGAAGACGAGUCCAGUCUUCAGAGAGAGCUGAGACAGACACAGAGAGGUUUUAGUUUUUAAAGCAUCCUUGCUUCACAGGUGUCUCUCUUUCCUUCUUCCCUUCUUUCUGCUUGAGUCAUUGCACCAGAUAAAGUCAGAGAAUGACUGUGUCUUCUCUUUGGAAAAAAGCAAUUACCUGAACUUUAUUGUUCAUAAAAUGUCACAGAUUCUGAUCUACAGCUGAUUCUGUUUUAAUUUGAUGUUACACAGCAGAACUGUUGAAGAUAAUUGAGCAACACUUAGCCAAGUUUUCCCAGCAGUCAUCAGUCAUAAUUUCAUGCUUGAAAUAAACCUCUCUAAUCUCUGCUGCUCAA